UCCGCCCUUGUGUAAUGGCAGCACGCAGGCCUUUGGUGCCUUGAAGUCCGGGUUCGAAUCCUGGGGGCGGAGCGA
rnacentral:tRNA from 1 species